AUCCAGAUGACGAGUCCAGAUAAGACGAAAUGUGCAUCCUGGAU
rnacentral:hammerhead_ribozyme from 1 species